GUUAAUGCUGAAUGAAUUUAUGAGGUGAUUGUAGCAGCAAAAACACAGCAGGGAGAAAAGAAGAAAGUGAGGGGAAGUGUUACAAGGCAGGGGUGGAGUGCUACCCCGCCUUUCCUGGACUGGGUGUUAUGAAACAGCAGAACCUAGAAUCAUUAAAAGGAUGGAAGUUCUAAAUAAAGCAAUAAAGUGGAAAGAACAAAAUUAAGAAAAUAACAGCUGGGAAACAGAAGAGGUCUUUUGUCUGUGCUUGAUUGUAAAC